rnacentral:rRNA from 1 species
AAGACGGUCUUGCUGUCACUUAUAGAUGGAUCCGCGCUGCAUUAGCUAGUUGGUAAGGUAACGGCUUACCAAGGCAACGAUGCAUAGCCGACCUGAGAGGGUGAUCGGCCACACUGGAACUGAGACACGGUCCAGACUCCUACGGGAGGCAGCAGUAGGGAAUCUUCCGCAAUGGGCGAAAGCCUGACGGAGCAACGCCGCGUGAGUGAUGAAGGUCUUCGGAUCGUAAAACUCUGUUAUUAGGGAAGAACAUAUGUGUAAGUAACUGUGCACAUCUUGACGGUACCUAAUCAGAAAGCCACGGCUAACUACGUGCCAGCAGCCGCGGUAAUACGUAGGUGGCAAGCGUUAUCCGGAAUUAUUGGGCGUAAAGCGCGCGUAGGCGGUUUUUUAAGUCUGAUGUGAAAGCCCACGGCUCAACCGUGGAGGGUCAUUGGAAACUGGAAAACUUGAGUGCAGAAGAGGAAAGUGGAAUUCCAUGUGU